AUAUACCUACCUAUGUACUUAAUGCGCAUUAGAAAUGAUUCGCCGUUCUAAUUAUACACGCUUAUGAAUACAUAUAUGCGACGGCAGUUCGAUUCGACAGCAUUAGUCGCAAAAGUAUGUAAGUAAGUACCCGUUUUCAAAUCACUUCAAAUCAUUUCAUUUCAGACGGGAGACUAUAAUGCACGUAUACAAUGUAAUUAUCGUAAAAGACGAAAUUGAUUAAUUUCGAGAUUACUGAAUAACGAAUAGACGCGUAUAUUUUCAAUCAAACUCUACGACCGAUAAAAAAUCAUUCGGUUUAUACUUGCGCAUUAUUUUCAUUAAUAGUGUCUCGUUUCGUAAAUCAACAUCAUAAUAUAAUAUUUGACCCCCAUCGCCCUUGUUAUCGUACCGAUCGUAUGUUUACAUUAUACUCUUAAGCUCUGCACCGUCCGUUUUUUUUUUUUUUCAAAUACCGGAUUGAACCGAGGUAUUAAGACAUUAAGAUUCGGACCGAACUGAUAAAUAAGUAAUGGCACCAGAUCGUUUUUUACUCAUAACUAAAAAAUACCGAGACCGCGUUUAAAUAUUUUAUAAUAAAUGCAGUAGCGCCACCAGAAUUUAUCAAAGGGGGAGAGGUCCAAAAUAUAAUAAACAAUUUCAUUGCACGACAAAAUAUAAAUUUGUUAGUUGUGUGUAGGUAUACCAAAUGAUUAAUGCAAUUCUUAUAAUGUUUCCAAAUUAACUUUUUUUUUUAAACAUUUAUACGGUCCAAAAGAGGGGGAUCUGGAUCAGGAGUGCAUCCAUUUGGUUAGGUCA